rnacentral:rRNA from 1 species
GAUGAACGCUGGCGGCGUGCCUAAUACAUGCAAGUCGAGCGAACAGACGAGGAGCUUGCUCCUCUGACGUUAGCGGCGGACGGGUGAGUAACACGUGGAUAACCUACCUAUAAGACUGGGAUAACUUCGGGAAACCGGAGCUAAUACCGGAUAAUAUAUUGAACCGCAUGGUUCAAUAGUGAAAGACGGUUUUGCUGUCACUUAUAGAUGGAUCCGCGCCGCAUUAGCUAGUUGGUAAGGUAACGGCUUACCAAGGCAACGAUGCGUAGCCGACCUGAGAGGGUGAUCGGCCACACUGGAACUGAGACACGGUCCAGACUCCUACGGGAGGCAGCAGUAGGGAAUCGUCCGCAAUGGGCGAAAGCCUGACGGAGCAACGCCGCGUGAGUGACGAAGGUCUUCGGAUCGUAAAACUCUGUUAUUAGGGAAGAACAAAUGUGUAAGUAACUAUGCACGUCUUGACGGUACCUAAUCAGAAAGCCACGGCUAACUACGUG